rnacentral:rRNA from 1 species
AGUGAACGCUGGCGGUAGGCCUAACACAUGCAAGUCGAACGGCAGCACAGUAAGAGCUUGCUCUUACGGGUGGCGAGUGGCGGACGGGUGAGGAAUACAUCGGAAUCUACUUUUUCGUGGGGGAUAACGUAGGGAAACUUACGCUAAUACCGCAUACGACCCACGGGUGAAAGCAGGGGAUCUUCGGACCUUGCGCGAUUGAAUGAGCCGAUGUCGGAUUAGCUAGUUGGCGGGGUAAAGGCCCACCAAGGCGACGAUCCGUAGCUGGUCUGAGAGGAUGAUCAGCCACACUGGAACUGAGACACGGUCCAGACUCCUACGGGAGGCAGCAGUGGGGAAUAUUGGACAAUGGGCGCAAGCCUGAUCCAGCCAUACCGCGUGGGUGAAGAAGGCCUUCGGGUUGUAAAGCCCUUUUGUUGGGAAAGAAAAGCAGCAGGUUAAUACCCCGCUGUUCUGACGGUACCCAAAGAAUAAGCACCGACUAACUUCG